rnacentral:rRNA from 1 species
GAUGAACGCUGGCGGCGUGCUUAACACAUGCAAGUCGAACGAUGAAGCCCAGCUUGCUGGGGGGUUUAGUGGCGAACGGGUGAGUAACACGUGAGUAACUUGCCCUUGACUCUGGGUUAAGCCCGGGAAAGUGGGCCUAAUACCCGAUAGGAGCGCCGGUCGCAGGAGGGGUGCUGGGAAGAUUAUGCGGUCAUAGAUGGACUGGUGGCCUAUCAGCUUGUUGGUGAGGAAGUCGUACACCAAGGCCGAGACGGGUCGCGGGCCUGAGAGUGUGACCUGCGACACUGGGACUGAGAGACGGCGCAGACUCCUACGGGAGGCAGCAGUGGGAAAUAUUGUCCAGUGAGCCCACGCCUGAUGAAGCGGUGCUGCGUGUGGGAUGACGGCUUUCUGGUUGUAAACCUCUUUCAGUUGGUAAGAAGCUGAAGUGACGUUACCUGCAGAAGAAGCACCGGCUAACUACGUG